GAGGUGCCCCAUUACCUUCCUGCCUUUUAAUUGUUGCUCAGUGUCAGAGGAGGACUGCUGGAGCUCCUGAUGAAACCAAGUUCAUGGUCUUGCCUCCUGGCCCUGCCAGCCUUGCUCUGGAGCCAAAUGCCUACCAAAAGAUCCUUCUCCUUGUGCACAGGAUGCUGGGCAAGAGGUCUGGAUGGAUACAGAAAGCUGUCACACUGGCCUGCUGCCCUUGGGAAAAGGCAGAGGGGUCCAUUGAGCUGGUAAACAUGUAAGCCGUUUGUGGAUGGCAAGGCUGAAAGAACACACUGUGACAUGCACCUACUUGGGCUUUGGGAGUCGCAGAUGCCCACCAGUGCCUAGAUGCUGUGGAACCCAAAAGCACUCGCCCUGGCUCCUGCACCUGCCCAUCUGUGUGCUACCCCUCCUGUCAGAGGUUUGAGCAGAAGCAGCAACCAAACAGACGAGCCACACCUCUGUCACACGUCUGGGAACUCUCUAGUUUCACUAACUUAGAACUUUUCUUUCUUUUUUUUUUUUUUUGAGACAGAGUUUUGCUCUUGUUACCCAGGCUGGAGUGCAAUGGCGCAAUCUCAGCUCACCGCAACCUCCGCCUCCUGGGUUCAGGCAAUUCUCCUGCCUCAGCCUCCUGAGUAGCUGGGAUUACAGGCACGCGCCACCAUGCCCAGCUAAUUUUUUGUAUUUUUAGUAGAGACAGGGUUUCACCAUGUUGACCAGGAUGGUCUCGAUCUCUUGACCUCGUGAUCCACCCGCCUCAGCCUCCCAAAGUGCUGGGAUUACAGGCAUGAGCCACCACGCCUGGCCUAGAACUUUUCUCCGUCUCUAUGCCCUGGUGUCAAACACAGUGCCUGCCAUGUAGAAAAGCACAAUGCAUGCAGUGAGCCUCUGUUGUUCUGGGUCCCAACUGAGAACUUGAAAACAUCCCCAUCACUCAAUAUGAGAAUGGUUAAAUGAACAGUGGUAUACACAGUAAAGGUGAUACUUCUUCAGACUAAUGAUCUUGGAAAUGUCUCU
rnacentral:lncRNA from 1 species